GGAGGCUUUAGCUUAAUUAAAGUGUCUGAGUUGCAUUCAGGAGAUGUGCGUUAAGAUUGUACAGGUCUUC
rnacentral:tRNA from 1 species